UGUUUUAAGGUCUCUUUAAGAUCUUUUGUAAAUAUGUCUACAGUUUCGGCCCCCCUCAGGUUCUCUGGCAGGCUGUUCUAGAGGCUGGAGGCAUAGUAACUAAAGGCUGCCUCUCCAUGCCUCUUGGUCCCCCUCAGGUUCUCUGGCAGGCUGUUCUAGAGGCUGGAGGCAUAGUAACUAAAGGCUGCCUCUCCAUGCCUCUUGGUCCCCCUCAGGUUCUCUGGCAGGCUGUUCCAGAGGCUGGAGGCAUAGUAACUAAAGGCUGCCUCUCCAUGCCUCUUGGUCCUGGGCUUUGG